rnacentral:lncRNA from 1 species
UUGACAACAGGUGAGAUUUGGGGCGCCUGACUGUGACUUCCACCCAGCAGGUGGGGUUGGCCCAAAGCAGUUCCCCAGCUUGUCCUCUCGGGUCCUCUGGACACCCUUCCCCACCACACAUAACCCUGGACCUUCACAGCUCCCACACCAUCCACACCUAGGAAAGGACAUCGGACUGGAGGUCAGGGGCCUAGGAUUCAAGUCCCAGCUCUGCUGACAGCUACCAGUGUAUUCUUGGGCAAGUCACUGAACCUCUCUGGGUCCUGAUUCCCUUAGCUGUAAGAGAGUGAUAAUCAUAAGGCCUUCUGCAUUGCUCUAAGGAUCAACAUAAUGCUUGUGAAAGUCUUCACUAUACUCUAAAGUGUGAUUAAUAUAUAUUCUUUAUCCUGGAAUCUCCUAUCUCCUUUGAGUCCUGUUAAAUAAACCAUGAUGUGAAUGGUUAGUAA